AUGGAUGAUGGGGGUCCUCCAGCUUAGCCUCGCCUGGGCCGGCCUGUGGCUCUCAUUUCCCCUUCAGCGGGACAAGGGGGACUUGUUACCAGGCCAUUUCCUGGAUGGCCUGUGAGAUCUCUGCCUCUCCAAGACCCUCCAAGUCUGAGCCUGACCCACAGCUGGGACACUGAAUUCAGCCCUGGGAACCAUGGGGGCUUCUAUCAGGCGCUAGACCCCCAGCCCUUCCCUGGCACUACCCUGGGAACCAGGGUGGGGCGUGGGGCCUGGGCUGCCCGGGAGCACUCAGCCCGCCUGGGCCUCUCUUGGGCAGGUGUCGUGGGUGUGUGUCUGGGCGGCUACUUGAUCGAGACCACGGGCUCCUGGACUUGCCUGUUCAACCUUGUGGCCAUCAUCAGCAACCUGGGGCUCUGCACCUUCCUGGUGUUUGGACAGGCCCAGAGGGUGGACCUGAGCUCCACCCACGAGGACCUCUAGCUCCCAAUCCCACAGCCUCUCCAAGGACCCAGGUGCCAGCAGCCCCGGGACAGAGGGGACUCAGUGUGUGCGACUUGGUCACUCCACGUCAGACGCACGAGCAGAGAGGAACGCAAACCACCAUGGAGCCCGAAGCUCCUUAAGGAGAGUCCACACCAGCUGGUGGGAGGGUGGGGUGGGCCUGGGUCCAGACCAGGCUCACUGCUCUCUGGGCCUCAGUUUCCCCACCUGCCAGCGGGCUCGGCCCUGUCCUCCUCACAGGCUGGUGUGGCCGUCAGGGUGAGUGGGGUUAUCGUUAGUAGGCGCAGCCUCAUUCCCACCACGAUCUGUUCCUCGUGGUUCCCGCCAAACCUCCCGUGGUCGCCGUGCUCUCCGCAAGCCUCCUGCAGCGCCUGCCUGCCGGUGUGAGGCUGGCACCAGGCUGUAGCCUCCCCAAUCCCAGCCCACGUUGCUGUGUCUCUGGCAGGCUGUCCUCCUUAGUGCGAGCUGUCCUGUGCACUGUAGGAUGCUUAAAGGUAUCCCUGGCCUCCACCCACCCCCAGCCAGCAGCACCUACCCUCCCUCCUCCCAGUCAGACAACAGCCAGAAAUGUCUCCAGACUCUGCCCAGCCUCCCCGGGUAGCCACCCUUUAGACACGACCUCAGAGUCUCUGCGUCUCCCAGCAGCCUGACAGAGACCCCCAGGGCAGUGGGUAGGUGGCGGGCUAGAGACCCUUGCCCGUUUCUGGGACCGUGGCGCCGCUCUCCCCUCCUGUGGAUCCCUCUGCACUAACAGUGUUCUCAGUGGGCAGACGCCUGGGCACCCCUUGGGCCCUGCCCAGCAUGGCCAUGGCGCAGGCUCUCGAACCCGCACGGCUUUCCCAGGCCUGGUGAUUCUGCUCUCCAGGGACGGUUGGCACCUUCCUCGGGGGCAGGCCCCAUGCACCCCAGAACACACAGACCCACCUUUCUGGCGUUCUUUCUACCUCCCUUUUCAUUGCCUGAGGAGCUGGUGGUUUCAUGAGUUAAUGAUACAUCUUGCAAGGUGUACACGUAGAGAAAAAAACCUAAAAAUGUGGAAAAGCACGCCAAAGCCUUAUUUAAAUAAUAACUAUUAAACUAUUCAAAAAGAA